CCUACGGGCGGCAGCAGUGGGGAAUAUUGGGCAAUGGAGGCAACUCUGACCCAGCAACGCCGCGUGUAUGCUGAAGGUCUUCGGAUUGUAAACUUCUUUUCUAGGGGAAGAAGAAAGUGACGGUACCUUAGGAAUAAGCUUCGGCUAAAUACGUGCCAGCCGCCGCGGUAAUACGUAGGAGGCAAGCGUGAUCCGGAAGGACUGGGCGUAAAGGUUGCGUAGGUGGUUUGACAAGUUGGUAGCGUAACGCCGGAGCUGAACUUCGGAACUACUACCAAAACUGUUGGACUCGAGUGCAGGAGGGGCAACUGGAAUUUCUAGGGUAGCGGUGGAAUGCGUAGAUAUGAGGAAGAACACCAGUGGCGAAGGCGGCCGGCUGGAAGACAACUGACGGUGAGGCGCGAAAGCGUGGGGAGCAAACAGGAUGAGAUACCCGUGUAGUC
rnacentral:rRNA from 1 species